rnacentral:rRNA from 1 species
UACGUAGGGGGCGAGCGUUGUCCGGAUUUAUUGGGCGUAAAGAGCUCGUAGGCGGCUUGGCAAGUCGGGUGUGAAAACUCCAGGCUCAACCUGGAGACGCCACUCGAGACUGCUAUGGCUAGAGUCCGGUAGGGGACCACGGAAUUCCUGGUGUAGCGGUGAGAUGCGCAGAUAUCAGGAGGAACACCAGUGGCGAAGGCGGCUCGCUGGCCCGGUACUGACGCUGAGGCGCGAAAGCGUGGGGAGCAAACAGG